rnacentral:rRNA from 1 species
ACUUAAGCAUAUCAAUAAGCGGAGGAAAAGAAACCAACAGGGAUUGCCUCAGUAACGGCGAGUGAAGCGGCAACAGCUCAAAUUUGAAAUCUGGCUCUUUCAGGGUCCGAGUUGUAAUUUGCAGAGGAUGCUUCGGGUUCGGCUCCGGUCUAAGUUCCUUGGAACAGGACGUCAUAGAGGGUGAGAAUCCCGUAUGUGAUCGGUCGUCUCGCCCGUGUGAAGCUCCUUCGACGAGUCGAGUUGUUUGGGAAUGCAGCUCAAAAUGGGUGGUAAAUUUCAUCUAAAGCUAAAUAUUGGCCAGAGACCGAUAGCGCACAAGUAGAGUGAUCGAAAGAUGAAAAGCACUUUGGAAAGAGAGUCAAACAGUACGUGAAAUUGUUGAAAGGGAAGCGCUUGCAACCAGACUUGCCCGCGGGUGAUCAGCCGGUAUUCGUACCGGUGCACUCACCCGUGGUCAGGCCAGCAUCGGUUUGGGCGGCUGGAUAAAGUCCACCGGAAUGUAACUCCUCUCGGGGAGUGUUAUAGCCGGAGGUGCCAUGCAGCCCGCCCGGACCGAGGACCGCGCUUCGGCUAGGAUGCUGGCGUAAUGGUUGUAAGCGACCCGUCUUGA